AAUACCAACAUUAUUAUUAUUAUUAAGAGAAAGGAGAGGCUGGGAAGGGUUUGGUAUAUCGGGCCUGCUUAUGGCGAAAUCAUGGCCGAGGGAGGAAUCUGUGGAGAGGAAAGGCUACAUCAUCCCAAAUCUAUCAUGGUGUUCUGGGAAACUGUAGCAGAAGGAGAGUCUGACCCCCAGGGUGGCCACCUCCAACCACUUGCCCCAGUGGUCCUCUCCUUCAAGCUCUUUGCCACGGCCUGCAGCGGACCCGGCUCUGGACAAGCAGACUAGAGAGCAUGUCAUUCUCGUGGUGAAGGCUUUGGUGCUCGUCAGACUCUUCCAAAUGAAAGCUCUCAAGUCGGAAACCCCGGGCUCUUGCUGUCUCCUCACCACAGCGAAAGACAUGUAGACAGACUGAACGUUCUGAGAACGAAUGAGAAAUCACAUAAACCCACUUAAGAACUUGACUCCUUCCACAAUUUCCAGAUGAUACAGUGCUCUGCACACAUGUCAUCAGGAUCCCCAGGGCAAAUACAGAGGUGAAACUAGGGGUACAUGCUUCUCCAGCGAUCGAUACCUCCACAUGGCCCAUGGCAGAAAACAUCAGAUAAUCGCUUAGUGUGAAGCUUGCCCCGGAUACGUACAGGACAACCAAUAUAGGACAACCAGCGCUUAGAACAGUGCUUAACGCGUAAUAAACGCUUAACAAAUAUCUUAA